rnacentral:rRNA from 1 species
UACGUAGGGUGCAAGCGUUGUCCGGAAUUAUUGGGCGUAAAGAGCUCGUAGGCGGUCUGUCGCGUCGGCUGUGAAAACCCGGGGCUCAACCCCGGGCCUGCAGUCGAUACGGGCAGACUAGAGUGCGGUAGGGGAGACUGGAAUUCCUGGUGUAGCGGUGAAAUGCGCAGAUAUCAGGAGGAACACCGGUGGCGAAGGCGGGUCUCUGGGCCGAUACUGACACUGAGGAGCGAAAGCGUGGGGAGCGAACAGG